rnacentral:tRNA from 1 species
GCACGAUAGCUCAGUUGGUAGAGCAGUGGUCUUGUUAUCCGGUGAACUGGGUUCAAAACCAAGUCGAUGCG